UACGAAGGGGGCUAGCGUUGCUCGGAAUCACUGGGCGUAAAGCGCACGUAGGCGGGUCGUUAAGUCAGGGGUGAAAUCCUGGAGCUCAACUCCAGAACUGCCCUUGAUACUGGCGAUCUCGAGUUCGGGAGAGGUGAGUGGAACUGCGAGUGUAGAGGUGAAAUUCGUAGAUAUUCGCAAGAACACCAGUGGCGAAGGCGGCUCACUGGCCCGAUACUGACGCUGAGGUGCGAAAGCGUGGGGAGCAAACAGGG
rnacentral:rRNA from 1 species